UACGAAGGGGGCUAGCGUUGCUCGGAAUCACUGGGCGUAAAGGGUGCGUAGGCGGGUCUUUAAGUCAGGGGUGAAAUCCUGGAGCUCAACUCCAGAACUGCCUUUGAUACUGAGGAUCUUGAGUUCGGGAGAGGUGAGUGGAACUGCGAGUGUAGAGGUGAAAUUCGUAGAUAUUCGCAAGAACACCAGUGGCGAAGGCGGACUCGCU
rnacentral:rRNA from 1 species